rnacentral:rRNA from 1 species
CCUUUAGAGAUAGAGGGUGCUCGAAAGAGAGCCGUAACACAGGUGCUGCCAUGGCUGUCGUCAGCUCGUGUCGUGAGAUGUUGGUUAAGUCCCGCAACGAGCGCAACCCUUGUCAUUAGUUGCUACAUUUGGUUGGGCACUCUAAUGAGACUGCCGGUGACAAGCCGGAGGAAGGUGGGGAUGACGUCAAGUCCUCAUGGCCCUUAUAGGUGGGGCUACACACGUCAUACAAUGGCUGGUACAAAGGGUUGCCAACCCGCGAGGGGGAGCUAAUCCCACAAAGCCAGUCGUAGUCCGGAUCGUAGUCUGCAACUCGACUACGUGAAGUCGGAAUCGCUAGUAAUCGUGGAUCAGAAUGUCACGGUGAAUACGUUCCCGGGUCUU